rnacentral:rRNA from 1 species
UACGUAGGGUGCGAGCGUUAAUCGGAAUUACUGGGCGUAAAGCGUGCGCAGGCGGUUUUGUAAGCCAGAUGUGAAAUCCCCGGGCUUAACCUGGGAAUGGCAUUUGGGACUGCAAGGCUCGAGUGCGGCAGAGGAGACUGGAAUUCCUGGUGUAGCAGUGAAAUGCGUAGAUAUCAGGAGGAACACCGAUGGCGAAGGCAGGUCUCUGGGCUGACACUGACGCUGAGGAGCGAAAGCGUGGGGAGCAAACAGG